GCCGAAGUGGCGGAACUGGCAGACGCGGCGGACUCAAAAUCCGCUGAGGUUAGCCCCUCGUGUGGGUUCGACUCCCACCUUCGGCA
rnacentral:tRNA from 1 species